rnacentral:rRNA from 1 species
GAUGAACGCUGGCGGCGUGCCUAAUACAUGCAAGUCGAGCGAAUGGAUUAAGAGCUUGCUCUUAUGAAGUUAGCGGCGGACGGGUGAGUAACACGUGGGUAACCUGCCCAUAAGACUGGGAUAACUCCGGGAAACCGGGGCUAAUACCGGAUAACAUUUUGAACCGCAUGGUUCGAAAUUGAAAGGCGGCUUCGGCUGUCGCUUAUGGAUGGACCCGCGUCGCAUUAGCUAGUUGGUGAGGUAACGGCUCACCAAGGCAACGAUGCGUCGCCGACCUGAGAGGGUGAUCGGCCACACUGGGACUGAGACACGGCCCAGACUCCUACGGGAGGCAGCAGUAGGGAAUCUUCCGCAAUGGACGAAAGUCUGACGGAGCAACGCCGCGUGAGUGAGGAAGGCUUUCGGGUCGUAAAACUCUGUUGUUAGGGAAGAACAAGUGCUAGUUGAAUAAGCUGGCACCUUGACGGUACCUAACCAGAAAGCCACGGCUAACUACGUGCCAGCCGCCGCCGUAA